rnacentral:rRNA from 1 species
UUUGAUGGCGACCGGCGCACGGGUGAGUAACACGUAUCCAACCUGCCGAUGACUCGGGGAUAGCCUUUCGAAAGAAAGAUUAAUACCCGAUGGCAUAGUUCUUCCGCAUGGUAGAACUAUUAAAGAAUUUCGGUCAUCGAUGGGGAUGCGUUCCAUUAGGUUGUUGGCGGGGUAACGGCCCACCAAGCCUUCGAUGGAUAGGGGUUCUGAGAGGGAGGUCCCCCACAUUGGAACUGAGACACGGUCCAA